UCCGCACGCGCGCUACACUGAAUAGAUCAGCGUGUUCUCCCUUUCUGAGAAGAACGGGUAAACCGCUGAACCCUAUUCGUGGUAGGGAUCGGGGCUUGCAAUUAUUCCCCGUGAACCAGGAAUUCCCAGUAGGCGCGAGUCAUAAGCUCGCGUCGAUUACGUCCCUGCCCUUUGUACACACCGCCCGUCGCUAAUACCGAUUGAAUAGUUAAUCCCGCGGA
rnacentral:rRNA from 1 species